rnacentral:lncRNA from 1 species
GGAGAACACCACCCCCAAAUCAUACACAAAUAGGCUUUUUUCUUUAGAAUGUCAUUCCUAACCAAAAGAAAAAUCCAGAUGUGCCCAUACUCUUAUAAGUCGAAACUAUGAUUUGAUGACGAUUACUUACAUUGUUUUUAUCAAGACUAUAUUUGUAGUUCUGAUUAACUGGCGAGGAGAAAGUGAAGAGAAAAGAUCAACAGAAGAAAAAAUAGUGCUGGCAAAUCAGAGAAGCCAAGAUAUCAACUUAAAAAGCAAACAGAAGACCUGCAGUGAAUAAGCAAAAUAGGUCACAUGAUCGAGACUUCUCUGUCCCGUUCUAAAGAAAAGGAUUUGCUCUCUUGGCAUCCUGGUACCGCCUCUCCAGACCCUGACGGAGAGAUACUGUGGCGGAGGACUCAAACUCAGGACCUCGGAGAGCUCUCGGCUGGGCCUCCCUCCCAUCUCCCAUCGGCCUCCUUACCCCUGGCGCUGGGUCCAGCUGCAUCCCUGGGAACACGUGACUGCUUACUCCAUGUUCAGGGAGAACAGAUAAAGAGCAGGAGGAUUCAUGCUGCUACCAACCUCUACACAAUGAAAUGUCAUCAUUUUCCAGCCCAGUACACGGCCAGAUUGCAGGUCCCGAGAGGGAAGCAGAAUUACACAAGCAACUGUGGCUCAGUGGUCAAGUGACAGAGACCUCAGGAAAAUUUCUCCAAAGAAAACCGUACCAGAUGAAACCUAAAGAAGUGGUAGCUUCAAGUCAG